rfam:Ictidomys tridecemlineatus contig043272, whole genome shotgun sequence.
GGGGUUGUGGCUUAGUGGUAGAGCGCUCACCUUGCACGUGUGAAGCCCUGGGUUUGAUCCUCAGCACCA